AUCUGUCCUGGCGAUUCUCCAGCACAGCAAGAAAAACUCGCUUGUGUUUAUGCUGAGAUGCCAAGGAUUAUCAUCGAUUGUCAUUCCUAUUUCCUGGAGCCACUUUGGUAAUCUUCAGUUGUUUGUAUAGUGCUUGUUCAUUUGAAUGCUAACAAACAAAUGAAGCCCAUUUGCCAAGUUGAUAUCAGUGGUGUAUGUCAAAAUAAUCUUCAUAUUUCAUAUUGAAAUUUGAAUUUUGUCUUCAUGAAGAUGCCUAAAAAGACUGUUCACUCUGAAAUAUCAGAAGCUGAUAAGUGUUUUGUUUGAACAUGACAAUAUCCCGGAAAAUCUGACAUCUGAAUUUUUAAGGAAAAUAUUUAAAGAAGUCUUUUCGACAGCUCCAUCCUGUGAAGAAAUCCUUCAUUUACGAAAUUUUAGUUAUAGCCGCAAAGACAGUAUACUAGAGCACAUAAGUUGUUGGGCGAUAGAAAACAACCAUUUGAUUCUACUAGACGAGCAUAAAUUGGAAAUUUCGAAUAAAUUAAAGCUCUUUGAUGUGAUUGUUAAGAAAAAAUUUGAAAUUUUACGUUUUGGAUCGAAUUUGAUUGACGAUAUAAUGGAAGAAGCUUGGCAAUCGGUAAAUUCUUGACGAUUCCAGAAAAAUGUAAAGGUUAUAAAAUUAUCAAGAAUCAGCUUGUUUACAUGGACAAAGACGAAACUUCAGCCUUAAGCUUAUCCUAUCAAGCGAUAACGAUGCUAAAGUGGCUUCAAGUUUCUAAAAAAAAUAUUAAUCUUUAUCGAUGAGUGAAUAUUAUUUAGAAAUCGAAGAUGUCCAAGAUGUUAAAUUAGGAGAUCAGUUUUUAGACCAUGACGUCGAUGUUACUAUUCUUACAAAUUUUCUGAAAGAAGAAGCUUGCCACUGGCUGCAAAGAAUGUACAAGAGAAAAAGGCACACAAACGCUUCAGCUGCAGAGAGAAAUCAUUUAGUUAAAUCUCAUAAAAUUAAAGGCAUUUAUAUCUUGAUAAUUGAGAGCGAAUAAUUAUUGCUAUCCCAUUUCCAAAUUUUACUCUCAAAAAAGAUUGCAUACAAGCGUGCAAGCGCAUCCAAAU